rnacentral:tRNA from 2 species
GCGGGUGUGGCGAAAUUGGUAGACGCACCAGAUUUAGGUUCUGGCGCCGCAAGGCGUGAAGGUUCGAGUCCUUUCACCCGCACCA